rnacentral:rRNA from 1 species
CAGGCCUAACACAUGCAAGUCGAGCGGUAACAGGACUAGCUUGCUAGUUGCUGACGAGCGGCGGACGGGUGCGUAACACGUAGGAAUCUGCCCGGUAGUGGGGGAUAGCCCGGAGAAAUCCGGAUUAAUACCGCAUACGCCUUAAGAGGGAAAGCAGGGGACCCGUUUCUUUUAUAAGGAGCGAACCUUGCGCUAUCGGAUGAGCCUGCGUCGGAUUAGCUGGUUGGUGGGGUAAAGGCCUACCAAGGCGACGAUCCGUAGCUGGUCUGAGAGGAUGAUCAGCCACACUGGGACUGAGACACGGCCCAGACUCCUACGGGAGGCAGCAGUGGGGAAUAUUGCACAAUGGGCGCAAGCCUGAUGCAGCCAUGCCGCGUGUGUGAAGAAGGCCCUAGGGUUGUAAAGCACUUUCAGCGAGGAGGAAAGGUUCAAGGUUAAUACCCUUGAGCUGUGACGUUACUCGCAGAAGAAGCACCGGCUAACUCCGUGCCAGCAGCCGCGGUAAUACGGAGGGUGCGAGCGUUAAUCGGAAUUACUGGGCGUAAAGCGUGCGUAGGCGGCUUGUUAAGUUGGAUGUGAAAGCCCCGGGCUUAACCUGGGAACUGCACCCAAAACUGGCAAGCUAGAGUGCGGAAGAGGAGUGUGGAAU